CCCCAUUGCCUUCAGGGACGUCACGCUAACAGAUGAGAAUGUGACCAGGAAGGGGCUUUGUUGCACAUAUAAAGUGGGAUUAGCAUUUUAAGAUGCCAGCAUUUUAAAAUCAAGGAAAUAUGUAAUCUAUUUUUCUCUGUGGCUAUUUCUGUCUCUCUGUCACCUGCCAAGUGCCACCUCCAUUCCCAAGUAACCAAAGCUCCAGGAAGCCUCUCCAAACUCAGCUACUUUGAAAAGUCAGUGUUCGAUUGGCUGAGCCAAGGUUUCUGGAAACUAAAUUCAAAGAGUGGCAGUCUUUUGCCAAUUAGCAGGGAAAAUCAAAGUUAAUUUUUUAGGACUAAAACUUCUGAUCAUGGUGGACUAGGUCAUUUGGACUAAAUUCCCAAUUGAGGUUAACUAAAAAGCUGCCCAAAAUACACAUAUAUAUAUUUUUUCAAGUCUGACUGGGGGUAUCGGGGAGCAAACAAGGCACUGAAGAAUCACAGAGCCAAGAUCUGGGGAAGAAGGAAACCCAGAGACAUGUGCCAGAAUCUGGGGCUACUUUCUCCCUAGGGGGUCCACUGAUCAUGGAAGAGAAUGCAGAGAUGCUGAGCACAGCUGUUAACAGCCUCUGGAGCUAAAGAGGUAAAAAUGAGGCCCACUAAGAGGAGGGGUUGCCUGGCAAAUCGUUUGUGCUUUGGGUUGGGACCCCGGAAUACAAAUGAACCGGAAGCAGACCAGCCCUUCAGGGGACUCCACAUCAUCUCAAAUUCGAGUCCUUUCAAGCGACUCAAAUCAUCUCUGAAAGUAGAUUAAAGAGAUCCUGGUUUGCUAGGUCCCAAGCCACCUGCCAGAUGUAAACAUAAUCCUCAUGGAAGAAGAUAACUUCAUUGUACACCUUGAAUUAUUUCUACAGGUUUAACGGAUGUAAUGUGUGGGACUCAAUCAAAAGUCACCAAGUAUGUGAGGAGACAAGACGAAAUUAACAAAAACCAAGAGAAACAACAGACACUAGAAACAGACUCAUGGAGGCUCCAUAUUAGGGGGUUACUGAACUUUAAAAUACCUACGUUUAAUAUACUCAAAUAUGUAAAAGAUAAGGUAGGCAAUUUUGAAAGAGAACUGGAAAUAAUUUUUUAAUAAUUUCUAUUUCUUUUUUUAUCCCAUCAAUUUCAUUCUUAAAAUGCAGGGCACUCUAUUUCCCUUGCACAGGGUAGCUGAUCAGAAACGAGCAAAAAAACCUCUGAGGAAAGCCAAAAAGAGGCAGUUGUGCUACAUGCAAGGAUGCUCAUUUGAGAGUGUGCUUGUAAUAGUGACAAUACACUGUGUGUGCACCAUCCCAAUUUCUAGUAGCAAAUUUGUUUCUGGUUUGUAAGAAGCAUUUAAACAGAGACUCUCAAAACUCCGCAGACUACAAUCUUUUUUUUUUUUAGUCCUUUUUUGUUUUUUAAAGAUUUGCACCUGAGCUAAUAUCUGUUGCCAAUCUUCUUCUUUUUUUCUUUUUCCUACUUCUCCCCAAAGCCCCCCAAUACAUAGUUGUAUAUUCCAGUUAUAGGUCCUUCUGGUUGUGCUACGUGGGAUGCCGCCUCAGCAUGACCUGAUAAGCGGUGCCAUGUCCGCACCCAGGAUCCGAACUGGCAAAACCCUGGGCUGCCAAAGCAGAGCACGUGAACUUAACCAUUCGGCCCUGGGGCUAGUCCCCAGACUACAGUCGUAAAGCGCCUUUGAACAGGGACCCAUCGCCCUUUUCCCUUGUACCUGCCCAGACCCAGCUCUGCCCCGGCCCAGAACAGUCAUGGCAAAAAACAGCAGCAUUUGUUCAGUGCCAGGCCUCUGCCAAGGGCUUUCCAUGCAUUAUCACGCUUUUCACAGCCCUAUGAGGGGGCUCUGACUAUUCUCCCCAUUUUAUAAAUGGAGAAACUGAGGUCGUGGGGACCCACAUAGCACAUUCAAGGUGCCCUGGCUAACAAGCGUUACAGCCAGGAUGUGAACAGAGGUCUGCUUGCUCCCAGAGUGGGCCCUCUCCCCACUUGCUGAUUGCUGGGGUAAUCCCUAGAUGCCUGUGGGCAAAGGAGGCCUUGGAAUCUCCUCUCCACAAACUCUCAUUAAACACCAACUGCAUACAGGGCCCUAACCUGGGAAACCUGGAGUCAAGGACCCAAGGCCAAGGCUCAGGAAAGUGAGCACACUUUAGUGGACUGGAGGUCCUGUCCACCUCCUCUUUUCUCUCCUCCUCCUCCUUCCUGUUUCUGGAACUCAGGGUCCAACAUGCAGAGCAGGCACAGGGAUGGACUAGGGAUGUCCCUACGCCACAUGCAUAGGACAGAGGGAGUAAAGGCCACAGUGCAAAAUCCUAUUGUGGCUACUAGCUCCCUCCUGGGAAAGCUGGGUGGGGGCUGUGGAAGAUGUCACCUUCUGGGGAGCCGAGGGGGAGCCCCUGCUCUGUCCCAGGUCUCAGGUCCCUUCCUAGGGAGUCAGUGCUCAGAGAGGAGUUGAGGGACAGCAGCACUAUUUCCAACCCAGGGUGCAAGCAGGGGCUCAGCCUCGUGACAGGCAUCUCUCACACCCUGGGGGGCCAGAAAUCCAGGCCGGGGCUGUGCUGGCCCCUGGCCUACGUGGUGGCUUUACUGAUUAGUUUGGUUGGGCAGGGGUCCCUGAGGGCCAGCAAGGUGGUGGGAUAAGGUCAAGAGGGAACAAAGGGGAGAAGGGCUUCCCUGGGGAGAGGACGUAAGGGCUGGGGAGGGGACAGAAUGAAGCUGGGGCAAGUGGGCAGGGUAGAUGAGGAAAGGGGCCAGGAGCCUGCAGAGCAGCGGGGGGAGGCGUGGGCAAGGGGAGGGGCAUGGUGACAGAGUGGGCUGGGACAGGGCGUCUGUCCCAUGCAAGAGGCUGAGGACAGGCUCUUCCUGGUGCUGAUAUAGUGCAGCAAGGAGGAUAAGGGAUAGACAUCUGGAAGAACCUGUUGGCUCUGUAGUUCAACAGAAGUUAAAUGCAUUUUUGAGGAAGAGUGAAGGGGUCUUGAGCAGAAUGGAGUAGACAGGUAAGAUGGGGUCAGACAACUGGAGUGGGGGGCAAUCCAGGCCUGCAUGUGACCUGGGCUCUGGGGGCAAGAGCGACAGGAGUUCUCUGGUCCAGGCCAAGUCAAGGGGGCAGGCAGCAACCUGGGCAUCACUUUGUACUGCAAACGUCCCUGUCACGGAUUAAGAACCAAACAGGUGAGGGGGAAGGAGGGGAGAGCAGGCCUCAGGCUGUCAGCCCCCUGCUGGACGGGACCAGUGCCCAGACCCCAAGUCCCAGAACCUUCCUGCCCUCCUGGGCCCUGGAGACCCCAGAUCCCAACCCCUCCCCAUUCCUCCCC
ensembl:lncRNA